GAGCGGAUGACGGGAGCUUGCUCCUUGAUUCAGCGGCGGACGGGUGAGUAAUGCCUAGGAAUCUGCCUGGUAGUGGGGGACAACGUUUCGAAAGGAACGCUAAUACCGCAUACGUCCUACGGGAGAAAGCAGGGGACCUUUGGGCCUUGCGCUAUCAGAUGAGCCUAGGUCGGAUUAGCUAGUUGGUGGGGUAAUGGCUCACCAAGGCGACGAUCCGUAACUGGUCUGAGAGGAUGAUCAGUCACACUGGAACUGAGACACGGUCCAGACUCCUACGGGAGGCAGCAGUGGGGAAUAUUGGACAAUGGGCGAAAGCCUGAUCCAGCCAUGCCGCGUGUGUGAAGAAGGUCUUCGGAUUGUAAAGCACUUUAAGUUGGGAGGAAGGGCAGUAAGUUAAUACCUUGCUGUUUUGACGUUACCGACAGAAUAAGCACUGGCUAACUCUGUG
rnacentral:rRNA from 1 species